GAUGAACGCUGGCGGCGUGCCUAAUACAUGCAAGUCGAGUGAACGGACGAGAAGCUUGCUUCUCUGAUGUUAGCGGCGGACGGGUGAGUAACACGUGGAUAACCUACCUAUAAGACUGGGAUAACUUCGGGAAACCGGAGCUAAUACCGAUGAUAUUUUGAACCGCAUGGUUCAAAAGUGAAAGACGGUCUUGCUGUCACUUAUAGAUGGAUCCGCGCUGCAUUAGCUAGUUGGUAAGGUAACGGCUUACCAAGGCAACGAUGCAUAGCCGACCUGAGAGGGUGAUCGGCCACACUGGAACUGAGACACGGUCCAGACUCCUACGGGAGGCAGCAGUAGGGAAUCUUCCGCAAUGGGCGAAAGCCUGACGGAGCAACGCCGCGUGAGUGAUGAAGGUCUUCGGAUCGUAAAACUCUGUUAUUAGGGAAGAACAUAUGUGUAAGUAACUGUGCACAUCUUGACGGUACCUAAUCAGAAAGCCACGGCUAACUACGUG
rnacentral:rRNA from 1 species